CCUACGGGAGGCAGCAGUGAGGAAUAUUGGUCAAUGGACGAGAGUCUGAACCAGCCAAGUAGCGUGAAGGAUGACUGCCCUAUGGGUUGUAAACUUCUUUUAUAUGGGAAUAAAACAGGGUAUGCAUACCCUCUUGUAUGUACCAUAUGAAUAAGGAUCGGCUAACUCCGUGCCAGCAGCCGCGGUAAUACGGAGGAUCCGAGCGUUAUCCGGAUUUAUUGGGUUUAAAGGGAGCGUAGGUGGAUUGUUAAGUCAGUUGUGAAAGUUUGCGGAUCAACCGUAAAAUUGGAGUUUAAACUGGCAGGUCUGAGGACAGUAGAGGUGGGGGGAAUUCGUGGUGGAGCGGGGAAAU
rnacentral:rRNA from 1 species